AGAGAUGUGUGAUGACGCAUAUCAAUAAGCGGAGGAAAAGAAACUAACAAGGAUUCCCUUAGUAACGGCGAGUGAAGCGGGAAGAGCUCAAAUUUGAAAUCUUCAAGGUUCUACCUUGACGAAUUGUAGUUUAUAGAAGUGUUUUCUGUUAGUAGGAGUGGCAAAAGUUCUUUGGAAUAGGACAUCAUAGAGGGUGAGAAUCCCGUAUUUGGUCAUUCCUUCUAGCUUUGUGAUACACUUUCGAAGAGUCGGAUUGUUUGGGAAUGCAGUCCAAAAUGGGUGGUAAAUUUCAUCUAAAGCUAAAUAUUGGCGAGAGACCGAUAGCGAACAAGUACCGUGAGGGAAAGAUGAAAAGAACUUUGAAAAGAGAGUUAAACAGUACGUGAAAUUGUCAAAAGGGAAGCGUUUGACACCAGUGUUGUUUUUCCGAAAAUCAAUUACGAAUGUUUUGUUUUUGAGGAGUUAUGACUUCAUCGGCUUGCUUCCUUCUCUUUACGAAACUUUCUUAAUGCACUUUUCGGUUAACAAGUCAACAUCAAUUUCUUUUGUUGUAAAAGGGUACUGAGGAAGGUGGCUUUCUUUUCGGAGAAAGUGUUUAUAGCCUUGUACCUCUGCAAUCGGAGAGAUUGAGGUCUGCAGCGUAGAUCCUUCGGGGUUAGAUACAUUUGUGCUAAGUUAUAGCUUUUCAUAGACAACUUGUUGACUAUGUUAAGUCUUGUAGCUUACUCGCUUAUGCUAUUUUACCUACGCUUAGGAUGUUGAUCUGUAGUGCGUGCGC
rnacentral:rRNA from 1 species